AACAUUCAUCACACAAAAUUUCAAGGAAUUAAGGUAUCAUUUGCAAAUAUUUCCAGACCAUGGAUUAUGGACGAAGGAACACUAAGAAGUACAUUUUCAGAUGUCCCGAUUUGAAAGAGUUAAGGAAGCUAGCAUCUUUUGUAUUGGAUCCCUUGGACUUCAAACAACGUCAUGGGAAGCUUCUGUCUAUAUCGCCUGCUGAUGUGGUUGAAGGACUGUUG
rnacentral:lncRNA from 1 species